rnacentral:lncRNA from 10 species
UGCGGGGAGGGCGGGGUCUGGGCGCCUGGAGGAAGCCAGAGCUUUGGCGCAGGCCGCCUGCGCGCUGUGCCAGGAAAGCGCUUGGAGAAAAUGUCCGGCCCCGCGACCUGGGACAGGAAGUGAUGGAGCACGGACUUAGUUUGCCUUUCAGUUCUUGUAUAAAUAGUUUUGAGGGUUGUCUCUGAAUUUUCACUCAGUUGUCUACCAAGAUGUUGAAUGGACCCAGAGCCAAGGACGUGGUCUUUUAUCAGUGGCACCUGAGACUUUCUUCCCUGUGGACGCAAAUCCAUUAUUCAGCACUCUGGGCACAGCUACAGAUCUGAUCAGCUAUCCAUUCUCCAAACUAUCUCAUCCUCUGUCCCAUUUUUCUGUCUCUCUUGUCCACAAGGCAUAUACCUGAGAGUUUUCAAAUUCCUCAGAGAAAUUUAGAUAUUCUGUGGCUUUGGCAUUCACCUAAUGUGUUAAUCUACAAACCUUUUUUACAGUGUGGAUUUUUUUUCAUGAUGUGAAUUCAAGUGGUUU